rnacentral:rRNA from 1 species
UGCAGUCGAGCGAAUGGAUUAAGAGCUUGCUCUUAUGAAGUUAGCGGCGGACGGGUGAGUAACACGUGGGUAACCUGCCCAUAAGACUGGGAUAACUCCGGGAAACCGGGGCUAAUACCGGAUAACAUUUUGAACCGCAUGGUUCGAAAUUGAAAGGCGGCUUCGGCUGUCACUUAUGGAUGGACCCGCGUCGCAUUAGCUAGUUGGUGAGGUAACGGCUCACCAAGGCAACGAUGCGUAGCCGACCUGAGAGGGUGAUCGGCCACACUGGGACUGAGACACGGCCCAGACUCCUACGGGAGGCAGCAGUAGGGAAUCUUCCGCAAUGGACGAAAGUCUGACGGAGCAACGCCGCGUGAGUGAUGAAGGCUUUCGGGUCGUAAAACUCUGUUGUUAGGGAAGAACAAGUGCUAGUUGAAUAAGCUGGCACCUUGACGGUACCUAACCAGAAAGCCACGGCUAACUACGUGCCAGCAGCCGCGGUAAUACGUAGGUGGCAAGCGUUAUCCGGAAUUAUUGGGCGUAAAGCGCGCGCAGGUGGUUUCUUAAGUCUGAUGUGAAAGCCCACGGCUCAACCGUGGAGGGUCAUUGGAAACUGGGAGACUUGAGUGCAGAAGAGGAAAGUGGAAUUCCAUGUGUAGCGGUGAAAUGCGUAGAGAUAUGG